rnacentral:rRNA from 1 species
GUGGGGAAUCUUGCGCAAUUGGCGAAAGCCUGACGCAGCCAUGCCGCGUGAAUGAUGAAGGUCUUAGGAUUGUAAAAUUCUUUCACCGGGGACGAUAAUGACGGUACCCGGAGAAGAAGCCCCGGCUAACUUCGUGCCAGCAGCCGCGGUAAUACGAAGGGGGCUAGCGUUGCUCGGAAUUACUGGGCGUAAAGGGCGCGUAGGCGGACAGUUUAGUCAGAGGUGAAAGCCCAGGGCUCAACCUUGGAAUUGCCUUUGAUACUGGCUGUCUUGAGUACGGGAGAGGUGAGUGGAACUCCGAGUGUAGAGGUGAAAUUCGUAGAUAUUCGGAAGAACACCAGUGGCGAAGGCGACUCACUGGCCCAAUACUGACGCUGAGGCGCGAAAGCGUGGGGAGCAAACAGGAUUAGAUACCCUGGUAGUCC